rnacentral:rRNA from 1 species
UACGUAGGGUGCAAGCGUUAAUCGGAAUUACUGGGCGUAAAGCGUGCGCAGGCGGUGAUGUAAGACAGGUGUGAAAUCCCCGGGCUUAACCUGGGAACUGCAUUUGUGACUGCAUCGCUAGAGUGCGGCAGAGGGGGAUGGAAUUCCGCGUGUAGCAGUGAAAUGCGUAGAUAUGCGGAGGAACACCGAUGGCGAAGGCAAUCCCCUGGGCCUGCACUGACGCUCAUGCACGAAAAGCGUUGGGGGAGCAAACAGG